UCUGAAAGUACUGGGGGCCUC
rnacentral:miRNA from 1 species